ACUUCCUCUAGACCUAGCUGCUGUCGAAGCUCCAUCUACAAAUGGAUAAGACUUUGGUCUUAGUAUAAGUGUAGGCGAGUUUUUGAUUGGAAAGUAAAGGAGCAAUAACCAACACUCUUGAUAGAAUAAGAAAUUGGUUAUUGUUCCUUUAUUUAUUGCUCUACUUGAACAUAAGAAAAAGUUUUCUAGUCUUAGGGAUUGGUUUAUGAUUGCGUAUCAUACUUUUUUUUUCCUUAGAUAUUAAUUUCUAAUUUAUAUACAUUCUUUUCAACCCUUUGUAAGGCUUUGUGAUAUUAUUAUCUUCUAGUUUUUUUUUUCGAAUAAAAUAGAAAGGUUAGAAUUUUCUGCUUCUUCUAUCUCAUAAGUAAGAGAAAAAAAUGUUAAAAAUUAACAAUCGAAAUGAAAUAUUUUCCAUUAUGAAUUUUUUUGAUAAUAUUUUUUUUAAAUAAAAUGGAAUAAAAAUAAAUAUAAAUACUAGUAAUAGUAGGGGCGGAUGUAGCCAAGUGGAUCAAGGC
rnacentral:misc_RNA from 1 species